GUCACCACGCUCGCUCUUCUUCGAUGGUUUGCGGCAGCGCUAUAAAUGCUGGCGCGCUACUGUGCGCGCUCUCUCAGUUCUGCGAUGGUUCAGCGGGAGUGCGCUAGAGCUUACAAAAAUGAGAAAGUCAGGCGGUUACAAGAAGGAGGCUGAAUGUGCUCUGGAUUUACUCCAGAUGAGGACUCUCCAGCUGCUGUAGCUCCGAUGUCACACAAGACCCCAAAAUGCCUCGAUCCCAACGGCCAGUACUGCUGAGGAUGAGGUAAAUAAGAUUGAGAAUUUGAAAGGUCCAUCGAGAUCAUCCUAUUGUGGGAAACAUGUGUGAAGAUCUUCAGAAAUCACGUUUUCUGUUCCAGCUUUUUUUUAAAUGUUAAAAGGGAUCAGUGCUCACUGUUAACAUUAUACAUAAAUGUAUUGUACAUGGUUACAAAUAUAAAAUCUUCCUUUAGUGGAGAUUCCUAGAACAGGGUUCUUCUUUUGUUCCUAGAGAGCCACUUUCCUAAAAUUAAUUUUUAUCAGAUUGGCGCUUAGUCAUCAUGGGAAUGACAUGCAGAUUGACAUAAAAAUAUCAAGGAUUUUUGCAUAAGGCUGCAACAAAAUGUGGAAAAUUAAGAGGUUUUGAAUGCACUGUUUAGGAUGUGUCCAUUCCUGCUUCUGGAGUGCCACUUUCAGCAGUUUAGCCCUAGCCCCAGUUAAACAUGCCUGAAUAAAGGUGUUCUGGAUCACUGGUCUUUCAAGCGUCUUUGGACCGCUCUUCUCUAGCAUUGUUUAAACAUGAGGCUGCUAUACGAAGACAAUGAAUGAGAUGUCUGAAAUGGUACAAUGUUUGAGUUGUCAGUUCUGUUAUUGUUUUUAAACACUGGACAAUAAAAAUGUAUGGAAGUGUUAA